rnacentral:rRNA from 1 species
UCGGUAAAAGAUGGGCCCGCAUCUGAUUAGCUAGUUGGUGAGAUAACAGCCCACCAAGGCGACGAUCAGUAGCCGACCUGAGAGGGUGACCGGCCACAUUGGGACUGAGACACGGCCCAAACUCCUACGGGAGGCAGCAGUGGGGAAUAUUGCACAAUGGGGGGAACCCUGAUGCAGCAACGCCGCGUGAAGGAAGACGGUUUUCGGAUUGUAAACUUCUAUCGAUAGGGAAGAAAGAAAUGACGGUACCUAAAUAAGAAGCCCCGGCUAACUACGUGCCAGCAGCCGCGGUAAUACGUAGGGGGCAAGCGUUAUCCGGAAUUACUGGGUGUAAAGGGAGAGUAGGCGGCAAGGUAAGCGAUAUGUGAAAGCCUUAGGCUUAACCUGAGGAUUGCAUAACGAACUAUCUAGCUAGAGUACAGGAGAGGAAAGCGGAAUUCUUAGUGUAGCGGUGAAAUGCGUAGAUAUUAGGAAGAACACCAGUGGCGAAGGCGGCUUUCUGGACUGAAACUGACGCUGAGGCUCGAAAGCGUGGGGAGCGAACAGGAUUAGAUACCCUGGUAGUCCACGCUGUAAACGAUGAGUGCUAGGUGUCGGGGAGGAAUCCUCG